rnacentral:rRNA from 1 species
GGAGGGGCAAGCGUUGUCCGGAUUUACUGGGGCGUAAAGCGCGCGUAGGUGGUUCACUAAGUCGGCUGUGAAAGCGCUGGGGCUCAACCCAGCACGGGCCAGUCGAUACUGGUGGACUUGAGUUCGGGAGAGGGAAGUGGAAUUGCUGGUGUAGCGGUGGAAUGCGUAGAUAUCAGCAAGAACACCGGUGGCGAAGGCGGCUUCCUGGACCGAUACUGACACUGAGGCGCGAAAGCUAGGGGAGCGAACGGGAUUAGAUACCCCGGUAGUCCUAGCCGUAAACGAUGGUCACUAGGUGUUGGGGGUAUCGACCCCUCCGGUGCCGAAGCUAACGCAUUAAGUGACCCGCCUGGGGAGUACGGCCGCAAAGGCUGA